GGGUGAGUAACACGUGAGAAACCUACCCUGGAGUGGGGAAUAACUCGAAGAAAUUCGAGCUAAUACCGCAUACCUUCUUACCGUCGAAUGGUGGUUUGAAGAAAGAUUUAUCGCUCUGGGAGGGUCUCGCGGCCUAUCAGCUAGUUGGUGAGGUAACGGCUCACCAAGGCAUCGACGGGUAGCUGGUCUGAGAGGACGAUCAGCCACACUGGAACUGAGACACGGUCCAGACUCCUACGGGAGGCAGCAGUAGGGAAUCUUGCGCAAUGGGCGAAAGCCUGACGCAGCAAUGCCGCGUGCGGGACGAAGGCCCUAGGGUCGUAAACCGCUUUCAGUAGGGACGAAAAUGACGGUACCUGCAGAAGAAGCUCCGGCCAACUACGUGCUAGCAGCCGCGGUGAUACGUAGGGAGCAAGCGUUGUCCGGAAUUACUGGGCGUAAAGGGCUCGUAGGUGGUCGAGUAAGUCAGAUGUGAAAUCUCAGGGCCCAACCCUGAGCGUGCAUUUGAUACUGCUCUGACUAGAGUCCGGUAGGGGAGUGCGGAAUUCCUGGUGUAGCGGUGAAAUGCGCAGAUAUCAGGAGGAACACCGACAGCGAAGGCAGCACUCUGGGCCGGUACUGACACUGAGGAGCGAAAGCAUGGGUAGCAAACAGGAUUAGAUACCCUGGUAGUCCAUGCCGUAAACGUUGGGCACUAGGUGUGGGGAGAACUCAACUCUCUCCGCGCCGUAGCUAACGCAUUAAGUGCCCCGCCUGGGGAGUACGGCCGCAAGGCUAAAACCCAAAGGAAUUGACGGGGGCCCGCACAAGCGGCGGAGCAUGUUGCUUAAUUCGAGGCAACGCGAAGAACCUUACCUGGGUUGAACUACGUGGGAAAAGCCGCAGAGAUGCGGUGUCCUUCGGGGUCCACGAUAGGUGGUGCAUGGCUGUCGUCAGCUCGUGUCGUGAGAUGUUGGGUUAAGUCCCGCAACGAGCGCAACCCUUGUCCUAUGUUGCCAGCGGGUAAAGCCGGGGACUCGUAGGAGACUGCCGGGGUCAACUCGGAGGAAGGUGGGGACGACGUCAAGUCAUCAUGCCCCUUAUGUCCAGGGCUGCAAACAUGCUACAAUGGCCGGUACAACGGGCAGCUAAACCGCGAGGUCAAGCGAAUCCCACAAAGCCGGUCUCAGUUCGGAUUGAAGUCUGCAACUCGACUUCAUGAAGCUGGAGUCGC
rnacentral:rRNA from 1 species